rnacentral:tmRNA from 1 species
UCACUUCCCAUUCACGAAAAAGCGCCUAUAUAGGUCAGUGCCGAGUUCGCUCGGCUAUGGUGAUAAAUUGCGAUGUGCAAUAGAUGCAGCGGACCCGGGGGCGGUACCCGGCAGCUCCACCAAAAUCUCUGUUCAUCAGAGGUCUUGGAGGGGCUGAACUAGGAUCGACGUGCGUUGAAAAGCAUUGUUUUUGCCCGGCAUGAAUAAGCCGUGAAAUGGUUCAUAACCAAUAGGU